rnacentral:rRNA from 1 species
CAUAUAAUAUACUACAUACUAUAUAUUUAUAUAUUACUUGAAACAUCAAAAAGUUAAGUAUUGGAGAAAGAAACACAUAAAUGUAUUAAAAGUACCGCACGGGAAAUAUAUUAAUAUAAAAAAGCUGUUACAGUAACGUACUUUUUGUAUCACGACUUAGCAAGAUUCGAUCAGAAUUCUGUUGUCUCGAAAGUUAGUGAGCUAUUUUUCUUAGGUUUAUUUGAGCCUUGACUAAAAAUGUAGCAAAAUUUUAGUAAUAAAAAAAAAUAGAGAUGAAAUUUCAUUCGCACUAACGAUAGCUAGUUUUUCUGGAAAGAUAUAAAAGAGUCGAUGAGAAAAUAAUUAUAAAAUAUUAAUUAUUCUAUAAAAUGUUUCUCGAUUAAUUUUUUUGAGGAUAAGCUCGAAAAAAAGUUAAGAAAUUUUACUAAUUUAGGUUAUUAUGUGGGCUUAAAAUUAGCAAUCAUAAGAGUUUGUUAUAAAACAGCAAUUUUAAUAAUUAAGAUAAAUAUACUUCAUUCUAAUUUUUUACAGAAAUAAAGACCUUGAUUAAUAAAUGUCUUAUACCUAUGCUAGGAUGAGUAUUAAAACUUUAUAUAUUCUAAGAAAGUUUUAUGUAAUUUUCUUCCAGGGAAAUAUUAAUCAAAUUAAAUUAGUUAAAAGGAACUCGGCAAAAUUAAUUGCUUCGCCUGUUUAUCAAAAACAUGGCUCUCUGAAUUAAUUUUAUAGGGAGCCCGGCCUGCCCAGUGAAUAAUAUUUAACGGCCGCGGUACUCUGACCGUGCAAAGGUAGCAUAAUCAUUUGCCUUAUAAUUGAAGGCUAGUAUGAAUGGUUUGACGAAAGCAAUACUGUCUCCUUUCUAUUUUCAAGAAUUUAACCUUUAGGUGAAGAGGCCUAAAUCUAAUUGAAGGACAAGAAGACCCUGUCGAGCUUAAAAGACAUUAUAGAAGUCUAUAUAUUUUUAAAUAAAUUUACUAUUGAGCUUUUUAGUUGGGGCGACUAAGGAACAAAAAAAGCUUCUUAUAACAACCAAACGCUCGAGUUUUGAUCCGGGAAUAACCGAUUAAGGGAAUUAGUUACCGCAGGGAUAACAGCAUAAUCUCUCUUGAGAGACCUAAUCGAAAGAGGGGGUUGUGACCUCGAUGUUGGACUAGAAUAUCCUAAAGAUGCAGAAGUCUUUAAGGGUCGGUCUGUUCGACCGUUAAAAUUCUACAUGAUCUGAGC